AGGAUUCCCCUAGUAACUGCGAGUGAAGCGGGAAAAGCUCAAAUUUAAAAUCUGGCGGUCUCUGGCCGUCCGAGUUGUAAUCUAGAGAAGUAAUGCCCGUGCUGGACCGUGUAUAAGUCUCCUGGGAUGGGGCGUCAUAGAGGGUGAGAAUCCCGUCUUUGACACGGACUACCAGUGCAUUGUGGUAUGCUCUCAAAGAGUCGAGUUGUUUGGGAAUGCAGCUCAAAAUGGGUGGUAAAUUCCAUCUAAAGCUAAAUAUUGGCGAGAGACCGAUAGCGAACAAGUACCGUGAGGGAAAGAUGAAAAGAACUUUGGAAAGAGAGUUAAACAGUACGUGAAAUUGCUGAAAGGGAAACGCUUGAAGUCAGUCGCGUUGGCCAGGGAUCAGCCUUGCUUUUGCAUGGUGUACUUUCUGGUUGACGGGUCAGCAUCAAUUUUGACCGCUGGAAAAGGGCCUGGGGAAUGUGGCAGCUUCGGCUGUGUUAUAGCCCCUAGUCACAUACGGCGGUCGGGAUUGAGGAACUCAGCACGCCGCAAGGCCGGGUUUCGACCACGUUCGUGCUUAGGAUGCUGGCAUAAUGGCUUUAAGCGACCCGUCUUGAAACACGGACCAAGGAGUCUAACAUGCCUGCGAGUAUUUGGGUGGAAAACCCGAGUGCGCAAUGAAAGUGAAAGUUGAGAUCCCUGUCGUGGGGAGCAUCGACGCCCGGACCAGAACUUUUGGGACGGAUCCGCGGUGGAGCAUGCAUGUUGGGACCCGAAAGAUGGUGAACUAUGCCUGAAUAGGGUGAAGCCAGAGGAAACUCUGGUGGAGGCUCGUAGCGAUUCUGACGUGCAAAUCGAUCGUCAAAUUUGGGUAUAGGGGCGAAA
rnacentral:rRNA from 1 species